AGAACGAACGCUGGCGGCAUGCCUAAUACAUGCAAGUCGAACGAACACUUCGGUGUUAGUGGCGCACGGGUGCGUAACGCGUGGGAAUCUGCCCUUGGGUUCGGAAUAACAGUUGGAAACGACUGCUAAUACCGGAUGAUAUCGAAAGAUCAAAGAUUUAUCGCCCAGGGAUGAGCCCGCGUAGGAUUAGCUAGUUGGUGAGGUAAAGGCUCACCAAGGCGACGAUCCUUAGCUGGUCUGAGAGGAUGAUCAGCCACACGU
rnacentral:rRNA from 1 species